rnacentral:rRNA from 1 species
UACAGAGGUCCCAAGCGUUGGUCGGAUUCAUUGGGCGUAAAGGGUGCGCAGGCGGCCGGGUGUGUGAGGCGUGAAAGCCCGAUGCUUAACAUCGGAAUUGCACCUCAAACUACACGGCUAGAGCAUUGGAGAGGGUAGCGGAAUUCACGGUGUAGCAGUGAAAUGCGUAGAUAUCGUGAGGAACACCAGAGGCGAAGGCGGCUACCUGGACAAUUGCUGACGCUCAGGCACGAAAGCGUGGGGAGCAAAAGGG